CCUACGGGAGGCAGCAGUGGGGAAUAUUGGACAAUGGGCGAAAGCCUGAUCCAGCCAUGCCGCGUGUGUGAAGAAUGCCUUCGGGUUGUAAAGCACUUUCAGUGGGGAAGAAAGCCUUGGGGCUAAUACCCUCGAGGAAGGACAUCACCCACAGAAGAAGCACCGGCUAACUCCGUGCCAGCAGCCGCGGUAAUACGGAGGGUGCGAGCGUUAAUCGGAAUUACUGGGCGUAAAGCGCGCGUAGGCGGUCUGAUAAGCCGGUUGUGAAAGCCCCGGGCUCAACCUGGGAACGGCAUCCGGAACUGUCAGGCUAGAGUGCAGGAGAGGAAGGUAGAAUUCCCGGUGUAGCGGUGAAAUGCGUAGAGAUCGGGAGGAAUACCAGUGGCGAAGGCGGCCUUCUGGACUGACACUGACGCUGAGGUGCGAAAGCGUGGGUAGCAAACAGGAUUAGAUACCCUUGUAGUC
rnacentral:rRNA from 1 species